rnacentral:rRNA from 1 species
UACGAAGGGGGCUAGCGUUGCUCGGAUUCAUUGGGCGUAAAGGGUGCGUAGGCGGCGCGGUAAGUCGGGUGUGAAAUCUUGGAGCUUAACUCCGAAACUGCAUUCGAUACUGCUGUGCUUGAGGACUGGAGAGGAGACUGGAAUUUACGGUGUAGCGGUGAAAUGCGUAGAUAUCGUAAGGAAGACCAGUGGCGAAGGCGGGUCUCUGGACAGUUCCUGACGCUGAGGCACGAAGGCCAGGGGAGCAAACGGG